CAGUCGCCGCGGGAAUACGAAGGGUGCAAGCGUUACUCGGAAUUACUGGGCGUAAAGCGUGCGUAGGUGGUGGUUUAAGUCCGUUGUGAAAGCCCUGGGCUCAACCUGGGAAUUGCAGUGGAUACUGGGUCACUAGAGUGUGGUAGAGGAUAGUGGAAUUUCCGGUGUAGCAGUGAAAUGCGUAGAGAUCGGAAGGAACAUCUGUGGCGAAGGCGACUAUCUGGGCCAACACUGACACUGAGGCACGAAAGCGUGGGGGGCAAACAGGAUUAGAUACCCCUGUAGUCCCUGUCUCUUAUAC
rnacentral:rRNA from 1 species